rnacentral:rRNA from 1 species
GACGAACGCUGGCGGCGUGCUUAACACAUGCAAGUCGAACGGUGACGGAGAGCUUGCUCUCCUGAUCAGUGGCGAACGGGUGAGUAACACGUGGGCAACCUGCCCCAGACUUCGGGAUAACGCUUCGAAAGGGGUGCUAAUACCGGAUACGAACUCCUUGGGCAUCCUUGGAGUUGGAAAGUUUCUCGGUCUGGGAUGGGCCCGCGGCCUAUCAGCUUGUUGGUGAGGUAACGGCUCACCAAGGCGACGACGGGUAGCCGGCCUGAGAGGGCGACCGGCCACACUGGGACUGAGACACGGCCCAGACUCCUACGGGAGGCAGCAGUGGGGAAUAUUGCGCAAUGGGCGAAAGCCUGACGCAGCAACGCCGCAUGAGGGAUGACGGCCUUCGGGUUGUAAACCUCUUUCAGCAGGGAAGAAGCGAAAGUGACGGUACCUGCAGAAGAAGCACCGGCUAACUACGUGCCAGCCGCCGCCGUAA